UACGGAGGGUGCAAACGUUGCUCGGAAUCACUGGGCGUAAAGCGCACGUAGGCGGAUUGCCAAGUCGGAUGUGAAAGCCCUCAGCUUAACUGAGGAAGUGCACUCGAAACUGGCAGUCUUGAGUAUGGAAGAGGGUCGCGGAAUUCCCGGUGUAGAGGUGAAAUUCGUAGAUAUCGGGAGGAACACCAACGGCGAAGGCAGCACUCUGGGCCGGUACUGACGCUGAGGAGCGAAAGCGUGGGGAGCAAACAGG
rnacentral:rRNA from 1 species